rnacentral:rRNA from 1 species
GACGAACGCUGGCGGCGUGCCUAAUACAUGCAAGUCGAGCGGACAGAUGGGAGCUUGCUCCCUGAUGUUAGCGGCGGACGGGUGAGUAACACGUGGGUAACCUGCCUGUAAGACUGGGAUAACUCCGGGAAACCGGGGCUAAUACCGGAUGGUUGUUUGAACCGCAUGGUUCAAACAUAAAAGGUGGCUUCGGCUACCACUUACAGAUGGACCCGCGGCGCAUUAGCUAGUUGGUGAGGUAACGGCUCACCAAGGCGACGAUGCGUAGCCGACCUGAGAGGGUGAUCGGCCACACUGGGACUGAGACACGGCCCAGACUCCUACGGGAGGCAGCAGUAGGGAAUCUUCCGCAAUGGACGAAAGUCUGACGGAGCAACGCCGCGUGAGUGAUGAAGGUUUUCGGAUCGUAAAGCUCUGUUGUUAGAGAAGAACAAGUAAGAUAGUAACUGAUCUUGCCUUGACGGUAUCUAACCAGAAAGCCACGGCUAACUACGUGCCAGCCGCCGCGGUAACAC